rnacentral:tRNA from 1 species
UGCCGAGUAGAUUAAUCGGUAAAUCGUCUGCCUCUGGAGCAGAAGAUUCUUGGUUCGAGCCCAAGCUCGGCAG